rnacentral:snoRNA from 1 species
AACUUUGAUGAUCGCAUUCGACUUCAUGCAUUGACUCGGGAUGUCGGUGGUAGUGCUGUGCUCUCUUUGGGACUGGCCUCCUCCGUUGAUGAACGUCCGCUGUCGUUAUUCCAAGACGGCGUGAGUGUGUGAAGUGAUAUGAGAAGU